CCUACGGGAGGCAGCAGUGGGGGAUAUUGCACAAUGGGGGAAACCCUGAUGCAGCGACGCCGCGUGUAGGAAGACGGUCCUCUGGAUUGUAAACUACUGUCCCCAGGGACGAAGAUGACGGUACCUGGGGAGGAAGCUCCGGCUAACUACGUGCCAGCAGCCGCGGUAAUACGUAGGGAGCGAGCGUUGUCCGGAAUUACUGGGUGGAAAGGGAGCGUAGGCGGGGAUGCAAGUUGGGUGUUAAAUCUAGGGGCUCAACUGGUAGUCGCACUCAAAACUCGAGCUCUUGAGUGAGGUAGAGGCAGGCGGAAUUCCUAGUGUAGCGGUGAAAUGCGUAGAUAUUAGGAGGAACACCAGUGGCGAAGGCAGCCUGCUGGGCUUUUACUGACGCUGAGGCUCGAAAGUGUGGGGAGCAAACAGGAUUAGAUACCCGAGUAGUC
rnacentral:rRNA from 1 species